GUGAAUUAAACAUGCUUGGUGUCCUUCGCUUCGGCAAGGCCCUUGCUUAAAUCACAUCCUAACACCUGUGAACUGUAAGACGUAUGAUGAGGUCUUUGGCCAAGUCAUCGUCUGCCCAUUUUUAACAAACAAUUAAUGUAACAAACGUAGUCUUAUUAUAACCUAAU
rnacentral:misc_RNA from 1 species